CUUAGUGGCGCACGGGUGAGUAACACGUGGGAACAUACCUCAUAGUACGGAAUAACUGCGGGAAACUGUAGCUAAUACCGUAUAUUCCAGUAAUGGGAAAGAUUUAUCGCUAUGAGAUUGGCCCGCGCAAGAUUAGUUUGUUGGUGAGGUAAUGGCUUACCAAGGCUACGAUCUUUAGCUGGUUUGAGAGGAUGAUCAGCCACACUGGGACUGAGACACGGCCCAGACUCCUACGGGAGGCAGCAGUAGGGAAUAUUGGACAAUGGGGGCAACCCUGAUCCAGCAAUGCAGCGUGAGUGACGAAGGCCUUAGGGUUGUAAAACUCUUUCAUCGGUGAGGAUAAUGACAGUAGCCGAAGAAGAAGGACCGGCUAAUUCCGUGCCAGCAGCCGCGGUAAUA
rnacentral:rRNA from 1 species